GACGAACGCUGGCGGCGCGCCUAACACAUGCAAGUCGAACGGAGUCAAGAGGAGCUUGCUUUUCUUGACUUAGUGGCGAACGGGUGAGUAACGCGUGAGUAACCUGCACUGGAGUGGGGGACAACAGUUGGAAACGACUGCUAAUACCGCAUAAGCCCACGGAUCUGCAUGGAUCUGCGGGAAAAGGAUUUAUUCGCUCUAGGAUGGACUCGCGUCCAAUUAGCUAGUUGGUGAGGUAACGGCCCACCAAGGCGACGAUUGGUAGCCGGACUGAGAGGUUGAACGGCCACAUUGGGACUGAGACACGGCCCAGACUCCUACGGGAGGCAGCAGUGGGGGAUAUUGCACAAUGGGGGAAACCCUGAUGCAGCGACGCCGCGUGGAGGAAGAAGGUUUUCGGAUUGUAAACUCCUGUCGUGAGGGACGAUAAUGACGGUACCUAACAAGAAAGCACCAGCUAACUACGUG
rnacentral:rRNA from 1 species